UAAGACAAACAUUAAAGCACAUACAUGCAGAUCGCAGUUGCAACAUCUAAAUGAAUUUUAAAAAUACUACUAAAAAGAUGAAGAUUGGAUCUACAGAAAGAACCCAUCUUUUCUUUCUCUUUCUCUUUUUUAAGCCUGAAAUAGAAAGAUUUUGUCACACAGAAAAAAUAAUUGAACAUUAUAACUGUUUUAUAACUCCAUUCAUUUCCGUUCCAAUAGGAUUAUAUUAAAACAGCCAACGCAGAUUAUGUCCCCAUUUCAUAGUUGGUUUCCGGAUAUGCCUUCACUGCCUCUGUUUCUUAUCCGCCUUUCAGUAACCCCCUUGCUUUGCUCCUCCACGCACCAGAUCCGAUCCUUGCAGAUUUAUACUCUAAUCUAGAUGGUGGCCUACCACUGAUAACCAAUUCCUACGAGCACAAACCGCGACAUUAGAAAAUGUCUCUGAUUACAGUGAUCAUUCCCUUCCUAAAAUGGAUUCACUUAAUUCAAUAUAAAAAAAAAUAAAGAGAAGAAAGAGAAACCAUUUUAGGAAGAGGAAUGAACAGCGUU
rnacentral:misc_RNA from 1 species